rnacentral:lncRNA from 1 species
AUACUAUAAAUUCAUUAUGUCUCAAAUUGAUGCCAUCUUUAACAAAGUCUUCAACCUUCAACGUUCAAGCUCCUCCUUUCUCCAUUUGACCUUUAAGUUCUCUCCUAUGAAGUGUACAGGCCCUAUUUUGCCCGGGCCCAAGUGAAAAACAAACCAAAAUAUAAAAUAUAAAAAAAUCCAUUACAGUCCAAACAAAUGGCCCAACUAGCCCAAAAAAAUCAAGCCCGGUAAGCCCAAAAAUUAAACACAAUCAGAGAAACCCUAGGUUUCCCUACCCCUUUUGCGCCGCAGCCAACCCCUGGCGCCGUACGCCUUCUGCAGCCUGACCCAUGUGCGCCCUCGGCACGUACACCGCCCGAAGCCUGGCAGCCUUUCACCAAAACGGCAAAAAGCCGUGAAAUCCGCCCUCGUCAACGUCUCCAGCUGGCCGAACCUGCAAGAAAAAGAAAGAAAGGACCACAAAAGCAGAAAAACAGCAACAGAGAACAGAACACAGUAGUGUGUAAUCGGCUAUAAGAGCCGAAUGAAAUGUAAUGUAAAAGGGGUUUUUUUUUUUCAGAAAUAAGAAGAAAAAGAAAUAAAAGAACAGAGAUCGAAUUCUGAGAAAGUUUUGAGGUCCGAAUCUUUCAUUUUUUUUCAUUAUUUUGUUUUUAUUUUUAUUUUAUAUACGCAUCUAUAAAUCGAAAAUAAAUUAAAAAAAGGGGAAAGCCUUACCUGCGCCGUGCCGGAGGAGGAGAAGCCGAACGGUUUCCCUUCGGUUCUAGGGUUCGUGGCCACCUUUCCAAGGAUUCAACCUUGAAUCCGGGUUCUAGGGGUGACGAGCUUUAAGCGGGGCUAAGAAAGGGCCGACUUUGCAGCUCCGACCGCCACUUGCGGCGGAGCUGCGGCGGAGAUACGGCGGAGGUGCGCCGGAGCCCUCGAUCGGAGACCUAGGCCGGUCUAGCGGGAAGGCUGAGAGGGAAUCUUCUGGUUUUUGUUUUUGAAAUAAAAGGAGAAAUGAGGAUUCUUUAAGAAAAAAUUCGUUUUUAUACUAUUCCAAAACGGCGCCGUUUAAUCAGGGGUUUUUAGCGCUAAAACGGCGCCGUUCUGCUCGACCCGUGCGCCACCCGACCCGUUUGCUACGAGGAUCCGCG